rnacentral:rRNA from 1 species
CAAGUCGUACGGGCCGCAAGGCCAGUGGCGCAAGGGUGAGUAAGGCGACGGUAACCAACCCCAUGAUUGGGGAUAGCCGCGGGAAACUGCGGGUAAUCCCCAGCGACGUCCGCGGGAGGCAUCUCCCGGGGACCAAAGCUCCGGCGUCGUGGGACGGGCUGUCGUGGUAUUAGGUCGUUGGCGGGGUAACGGCCCACCAAGCCUGCGAUGCCUACCGGGCGUGCGAGCGUGGCCCGGCACACUGGGACUGAGACACUGCCCAGACUCCUACGGGAGGCUGCAGUCGAGAAUCUUCGGCAAUGGGCGCAAGCCUGACCGAGCGACGCCGCGUGGAGGACGAAGGCCUUCGGGUUGUAAACUCCUGUCGAGGGGGAAGAAGGCCCCGCGAGGGGCUUGACUGAUCCCUGGAGGAAGCACGGGCUAAGUUCGUGCCAGCAGCCGCGGUAAGACGAACCGUGCGAACGUUAUUCGGAAUCACUGGGCUUAAAGCGCGUGUAGGCGGGACGGCACGUCGGUCGCUGAAAGCCCCCGGCUCAACCGGGGAACGGGCGCCGAUACGACCGCCCUCGAGGAACGUAGGGGGACCUGGAACUUCCGGUGGAGCGGUGAAAUGCGUUGAGAUCGGAAGGAACGCCCGUGGCGAAAGCGAGGUCCUGGACGUUUACUGACGCUGAGACGCGAAAGCCAGGGGAGCGAACGGGAUUAGAUACCCCGGUAGUCCUGGCCGUAAACGAUGGGCACUGGGUAGGGGGCUCGCCGAUGGGCUCCCUGCCGUAGGGAAACCGUGAAGUGCCCCCGCCUGGGGAGUAUGGUCGCAAGGCUGAAACUCAAAGGAAUUGACGGGGGCUC